UACGUAGGGUGCAAGCGUUGUCCGGAAUUAUUGGGCGUAAAGAGCUCGUAGGCGGUUUGUCGCGUCGAAUGUGAAAACCCGGGGCUCAACCCCGGGCCUGCAUUCGAUACGGGCAGACUAGAGUUCGGUAGGGGAGUCUGGAGUUCCCGGUGUAGCGGUGAAAUGUUGUAGAGAUCGGGAGGAACACCGGUGGCGAAGGCGGGUCUCUGGGCAUUUCCUGACGCUGAGGCGCGAAAGCGUGGGGAGCAAACGGG
rnacentral:rRNA from 1 species